UGUAAAAUAAGCUAAGCAAAGCUAUUGGGUUCAUACCCCAAAGAUGAAUAGAAAUUAAUUCUUUUACAA
rnacentral:tRNA from 1 species